UGGGGAAUAUUGCACAAUGGGGGAAACCCUGUUGCAGCGACGCCGCGUGAGCGAAGAAGGCUUUCGAGUCGUAAAGCUCUGUCCUAUGAGAAGAUAAUGACGGUAACCGGAGAAGAAGCCCCGGCUAACUUCGUGCCAGCAGCCGCGGUAAUACGAAGGGGGCUAGCGUUGUUCGGAUUUACUGGGCGUAAAGCGCACGUAGGCGGACUUUUAAGUCAGGGGUGAAAUCCCGGGGCUCAACCCCGGAACUGCCUUUGAUACUGGAAGUCUUGAGUAUGGUAGAGGUGAGUGGAAUUCCGAGUGUAGAGGUGAAAUUCGUAGAUAUUCGGAGGAACACCAGUGGCGAAGGCGGCUCACUGGACCAUUACUGACGCUGAGGUGCGAAAGCGUGGGGAGCAAACAGG
rnacentral:rRNA from 1 species